GAUGAACGCUGGCGGCGUGCCUCAACAUGCAAGUCGAGCGGGGCUAUGUAAUAUCGCAAAGGUAGAACAUAGCCUAGCGGCGAACGGGUGAGUAACACGUGGGUAACCUGCCUGGAAGACAGGGAUAACGAUUCGAAAGGGUCGCUAAUACCUGAUAAUAUCCUUUCAUCGCAUGGUGAUAGGAAGAAAGGGGGAAACCCGCUUUCAGAUCGGGCCCGCGUCCCAUCAGCUAGUUGGUAAGGUAAAGGCUUACCAAGGCGACGACGGGUAGCCGGUCUGAGAGGAUGUACGGCCACACUGGGACUGAGAUACGGCCCAGACUCCUACGGGAGGCAGCAGUUGGGAAUCUUAGGCAAUGGACGAAAGUCUGACCUAGCGACGCCGCGUGAGGGAAGAAGGCCUUCGGGUUGUAAACCUCUGUCAUGGGGGAAGAAGUAAGUGACGGUACCCCAAGAGGAAGCCCCUGCUAACUACGUG
rnacentral:rRNA from 1 species